UAAACACAUCUCCAUCCAACCUGCAAUCUCUUCGCCUAUCUCUCUGCAUUUUUCUUACCCUCUCUGCCUACGAUCUUUCUCUCUUUUAUUCGUUAAUAAAUAGAGCCUUUCAUCAUGUAGCUCUUUGCAUCCUCUUCUUCUCCAUUUUUCUCGUGGUCAUCCAGUUCUAAGACUAAUUCUCCAUGGAGUCCUUGAAGGCAUUUGCCUUCAUGAAGAGAAAUAGGAGGAGGAGAGUGGCGAUGAUGGAGGAAUCAAAGAAAUGAAAGUUCAAAGAAGAUUCCAUCAAUGGAUGUGUUUCUGAUCUCGAUUCUACCUCUCAUAUCUGUUUCCUUCUUGACCCGUUAGAAAAGACCACUCGUUGAUCUCUAGCGCAGUAACUCAGGAAGAGGAAAGCUAGAGUCGGUGAUAGCAAAGAGUCAGCUCAGGUGGUGGCACUGCUAGUGUCGGGGGAUAAGCGGGCCAAGAAGAUGGUGUGGGAUAGGGAAGAUACAGAUUUGGGGAAAAAGAAGGUGACCUUAUUCUUUGGCUCGUAGACCGACACUGCCAAGAGGUUCGCAAAGUUGGUUGAUUUUGAGAGCUGAAAAAUUAUUUUCUCAGAAUCUAAGAAAAGUACUGGUUACUUCAGCAGAGUCUCUCUUCCAGAAUAUAAUGUUCCUCGAGAGCAACAAGAAAUGGAAAUUCAAGCUAACAUCUUUGCUUUUGGAGUAGUUUUACUGGAAAUAAUCAGUGGAAGACCUCCAUAUUGCAAGGAAAGAGGGUGUCUGAUAAAUUGGGCCACAAAGUAUCUUCAAAACCCAGAAGAGAUAAGUAAACUAGUAGA